rnacentral:rRNA from 1 species
GACGAACUGUCCUAACGUUGUUCGGAAUCACUGGGCGUAAAGGGUGCGUAGGCGGGUCUUUAAGUCAGGGGUGAAAUCCUGGAGCUCAACUCCAGAACUGCCUUUGAUACUGAGGAUCUUGAGUUCGGGAGAGGUGAGUGGAACUGCGAGUGUAGAGGUGAAAUUCGUAGAUAUUCGCAAGAACACCAGUGGCGAAGGCGGCUCACUGGCCCGAUACUGACGCUGAGGCACGAAAGCGUGGGGAGCAAACAGG